GACAAGGUGCUAUAGUCUACCAUUUUGGUUGGACUAAUGUAUCAAGUCUUUUUUUCUAGUAUCUCUAUUAGCCUUCUGGGUGUGUAGACGAUUCUAGGACUUUUACUUUGAAGAAAUUAGAGUGUUUAAGGCAGGCUUGUGCUUGAAUACAUUAGCAUGGAAUAAUAAAAUAAGACUUUGGUUUUAUUUUGUUGGUUUUUAAAACUAAAGUA
rnacentral:rRNA from 1 species